rnacentral:misc_RNA from 1 species
GGGAUAUCAAUCAAGAAUAUAUGUUACAAAGUUUGUUCUUCUUCUAACUACUUGUCGAUUCUGAGGUUAUUACAUAAAUGACCCAAUUCAGGUCGUUCCUUCAUCCACGAUGCAAAAUUCAUCUCCUCCUCUGACUUAGUACAGUAGAGGUAGGAUCUGAAAGUGAUGAGAAAAAAAUACCGCCUUAGAGCCUUAAUACCCAUAUCCAUGAGGUAAGC